CAAGGCUUCAGCGAUGAUGUUAAGAGUGUUUCUGAGCGUUUCCAGAUGCAACUGUGAGAACAAGCCCAUUUUAGAAGUGGAAGAGUAUCUGCCACAAUGCCCGGCAAUGAAAACAUUUACAAGACAACAAAACAAAGCAUAAAGUCUAUCCUUCUAGAAGAUCGAGAUGCACACUUGAGUUUGAAUCCUGGCUUCACCACUUUUUAUUGAGCUACUAAUGUGACGGGCAUUAUGCAGAUGCUGGGGAUACACCAAGUAAACAAGUUACAAUCCCUGUCUGUGGGAGCUCGGAGAGAGCCCACUGCGGCUAAGCAAGAUUGAAGCCUGAGUCAUGUGUCUUACCCACUGAACGUGUGGUUUGCCUGCCUCGAAAGUAGGAACCGACACGGGAAAAAGGCUGCCAUUUACAUUCUGGAUGUGAACCCACUCUUGGAAGGAGGAGCCUCGAAGAUGCUUUCUUCUCUACCUCAAGGCAGCAAGAGAAUGAGAUUUCUGCUUUCUCCUUUAUCUCUAGUGAUGUUUCUGUUCACUUUGCGGGACACAGUGUAGUUUAGCACAGUCUGCCCUUCGCCUUGAAGAGUGAGCUGAGGUGGCAUCAGAAUGGGAAACGGCACUGCUGUAUGGGUUCCAGUGUCCUUGUAGGACUGGUGAAAGGAAAGAGUCAGAGCCGCUCUCUGAGCCCUCCUGUCUGCAUGCCCUGGAAUUGCAAAGCUGUGAGAUAGCUCACACAAAGGCCAUGAGGUUUGAGCAGAAAGAGAGCAGGACCUGGGGUCAAAAGAACUGUGUUCUAAGAGUCACUGUGUCAUUAACUAAUUGAUUGAUUUUUGACAAGUCAGUUUCCUUUUUUAUGUCUCAUUUUUCUCAUCUGUCAAACGGAGGUAAAAAAUUCACUCUAUCCCUCUGGGGUGAGAUAAUAAAAAGAAUAAUAGGCAUGGAAGUACCAGGAAUAUAAGUAGCUUUUAUUAGCCUUAACUGAUUGGCCAGCAGGGAAGUUGUCAUUUUAGGAUAUUUAAAAAACAAGACAAAACAGACACUAAUAAAAAUAAAAAAUAAAACUAAGGAACUUCCUAACAAACAUAAGUCCAUGCCAGAUGGCUUCACUAGUGAAUUCUACCAAACAUUCAAAGAAGAAUUAACACCAAUUCUCAUCAAACAAUUCCAAAAACUAGAAAGGGAGGAAGCACUUCCAAACUUAUUUUACAAGGUCAGUGUUACCCUGAUACCACAACCAGACAAGGAUGCCACAAGAAAAUUAUAGAUGAAUAUCAAUGAUAAACACAGAUGUAAAAAUUCUCAACAAAAUAUUAGCAAACAAAAUUCAACAUUACAUUAAAAGGAUCAAACACCAUGAUCAGGUGGGAUUUAUUCCAGAGAUGCAAGGAUGGCUCAACAUCCACAAAUCAAUCAAUGUGAUACAUUAACAAAAUGAAGGAUAAAAAUCAUAUGACCAUCUCAAUAGAUGCAGAAAAGCAUUUGACAAAAUUCAACAUGUAUUUAUGAUUAAAAACUCUCAACAAAGUGGGUAUAGACGGAACAUACCUCAACAUAAUAAAAGUCAUAUAUGACAAGCACAUAGCUAACAUCAUACUCAAUGGGGAAAAGGUGAAAGCUUUUCCUCUAAGAUCAGGAAUAAGACAAGGAGGCCCACUCUUGCCACUUUUAUUCAACAAAGUAUUUGAAGUCCUAGGCAGAGCAAUUAUACAAGAAAAAGAAAUACAAGGCAUCCAGAUUGGAAAGGAAGUGAAACUGUCACUAUUUGCAUGUGACAUGGUACGAUAUAUAGAAAACCCUGAAUACUCCACCAAAAAAAAAAACUGUUAGAAAAAAAUAAAUAAAUUCAGUAAAGCUGCUAGAUAUAAAAACAAUAUGCAAAAAUC